rnacentral:rRNA from 1 species
GACGUAGGGCGCGAGCGUUGUCCGGAUUUAUUGGGCGUAAAGAGCUCGUAGGCGGCUUGUCGCGUCGACCGUGAAAACUUGGGGCUCAACCCCAAGCCUGCGGUCGAUACGGGCAGGCUCGAGUUCGGUAGGGGAGACUGGAAUUCCUGGUGUAGCGGUGAAAUGCGCAGAUAUCAGGAGGAACACCGGUGGCGAAGGCGGGUCUCUGGCCUGUUCUUGACGCUGAGGCGCGAAAGCUAGGGGAGCAAACGGG